rnacentral:rRNA from 1 species
AUACGUAGGUGGCAAGCGUUGUCCGGAUUUACUGGGUGGAAAGGGCGUGUAGGCGGAGGUUCAAGUGGGGAGUGAAAUCUCGGGGCUUAACCUCGAGACUGCAUUUGAAACUGUAGAUCUAGAGUGUCGGAGAGGCAAUCGGAAUUCAUAGUGUAGCGGUGCAAUGCGUAGAGAUUAGGAAGAACACCAGUGGCGAAGGCGGCUUUCUGAGAUGUAACUGACGCGGAGGCACGAAAGCGUGGGUAUCAAACAGGAUUAGAUACCCUGGUAGUCCACGCCGUAAACGAUGGAUACUAGGUGUAGGGGGUAUCAACUCCUCCUGUGCCGCAGUUAACACAAUAAGUAUCCCGCCUGGGGAGUACGGUCGCAAGAUUAAAACUCAAAGGAAUUGGCGGGG